AACGAACGCUGGCGGCAUGCCUAACACAUGCAAGUCGAACGAGACCUUCGGGUCUUUUCGCGCACGGGUGCGUAACGCGUGGGAACCUUCCCUUAUGUUCGGACUAACUCCCCGACAGGGGUGCUAAUACCGGAUCAUGUCUUCUGCCCGAAGAUUUAUCGCCUUUGGAGGGACCCUAGUUGGAUUAGCUAGUUCUGAGGGUAAAAGCCUACCAAGGCGACGAUCCAUAGCUGGUCUGAGAGAAUGAUCAGCCACACCGAGAGUGAGACACGGCCCGGAAUCCUACGGGAGGGGGCAGAGGGGAAUAUUGGAAAGUGGGGGAAAGGCUGAUCCAGCAAGGCCGGGUGAGUGAUGAAGGCCUUAGGGUUGUAAAGCUCUUUUACCCGGGAUGAUAAUGACAGUACCGGGAGAAUAAGCUCCGGCUAACUACGUG
rnacentral:rRNA from 1 species